AACAACUUGAAAUAUAUAAAUUAACUUUUUUAUUUUGAAGCAAUGGAAAAUGAACUUUUCCAUUUUAUACACUGUCCAUUGGUGAGCCUCACGGACAUGAUGAGCAAAAGAAUCCACAUACAAGAGAUUAAAUACUUUAUGAUCUCAUUCAUACAAAGUUCAAAAAUAAUGAAAACCAAUUUAUGGUGAUGGACAGCAGAAUAGCAGUUUCCUUUGGGGGUGUGGACUGACCGGGAAGGGGCAUGAAGGAACCCAGAAUGCUGGAAUUGCCCGUAUCUUGAUCUAGGUGAUGAUUACACAAAUGUCUAGAAAUAUAAAAUUUAACAGUUAGGAUUUGUUCACUUUAUGUAAAUUUUACCUGAGUUAAAAAGUAAUUAUAAUAAUUUAAAAAAUUAAUAGUAUACUGUUGCCAAAUUCAUGCCUUUAGAAAAGGCAACAUAAACCUUAACUUCAGGAAGAGUAGGAGAUAGAGGCGCUCUAGGGGUGUAGGAGGCACAUGUGUUUGAACCCUAACCCUGCUUCUUACUGGUGGAUGACCCCGGCUCGAUUUCCUUACCUAUGUGAGGUUACCUUGUGUGUACCUUACACAUCUGCAAAGUGAGGACAGUGAUCUCUACGGUAUAAGAUUGCUGUAUUAAAUACGGUAUCUGUACAGCUCCUGGCCCAUAUUAGGUGCUCCAUUCAUGGUAUUUAUUUUCUUUAAUCUGCAAGAGGUUUUUUCUUUUACCAUUAUGAAGAAAAAUUACGAUAACAUGGGGAACAGCCUGAAUGACUGGUGUAGGAAAUGAAUUGGCCCUGGGGAGGUUGCCAGGACCGGCUGCAGUUAGGAAAGAUGGUCUCCUGCUGGACAAAACUGACAUCCCUUGGCAGAGGAUAUUACAGCAUGUUCACCAAGACAGGAAACAUUAGGUAAACUGACUUUUCAACUAUUUACACUUUUAAAUAGUACUCACAGUAUGUUUUCUGGUGAUGUACUCUAAAUUAAAAGCAGUAGGUCCAAUUCUUAGCCUAGACAAAUAAUUAAUACACUAAAGAGUGUCCAGAAUAUCUGGAAACACUGGGAGAAUAGUGUUUUUUUUAUACUUUACCCAAAAGCAUACUGAACAUACUAUUUGGAAAUUCAACUGAACAGUUAUACACUGUUUCAAAAUAGAUGUCUCCUAUGUUUCUCGCCUUCGCAACACUUGAAGCUGUCAGCUGAACAAGGCAGGUGCAGCGUGAGUGGCUGUCAGUGGCCAGUGACAAAAACAAGACUUACCGAAACAAACAAGUAUUUCUUAUAAGUCAUUUGGAAACAAUUUCAGAAUCCAUUUCUUGGCAAUGGGAAUAGUGCAUUUCAGAUCCUAUUAAGUGAUUGAUUUAUAUGUGGGAAGUCCUCAAUUGGUCGUUCUGGAAAUACUUAAUGAUGCUGUGCCACUGUUUGUAAAGUUGAGAGGAUAUCCUACAGAAAAUGAAAACCCCAGGGGAAGGAAGCCACGUGGGGCCACAUUGUCUGCCUGGCCACGAACAUUUACUACAAGGUUUGCACUUUCAAAUUGUGAAGACGCAACUGGUUUUAACUGAAAUGGACCCUAAGGGAUAGAUUGGAGACAAAACAGGAAUUCACAGAACAGCUCCAUUACGUGUUUGGCCAAGCAUCCGACCAGUCUACUUUUCUGUAUUUAUUGUUUCAGCCAUACGACCUCCUCUUUUUCUAGGAUCCACUUGUCAAGUACGAUUUGCCCACACAGGGGACAUUCCUGUGUCCGACAGUCAAUCAUGUUUUUCCCAGCUGUAAACUGACUGCAGAGUUGACAAAAAACACCAUGGAAUUGAACUUAAGGUAAUGGCAUAGCUUUGAACACUGAAGUACUUUCAUUCAUUUACUCAUGAUGAACUAUCCCCGGUGCUAUGGAAGGAUCCAUGGAAAGAUUCACUUUCCAUCCUGUUGCACCCUGGGAGGCUGACCUUACAAGUCACAUUCAUGGAUGUCCUUGCCCUUUGGCUUCCAACUGGAUUCAUUCGAUGGGACUUCCCCAAAGAAGAGUGCAGGUUAUGCCCCUGGCUCCCUUCCUGUGGGGUUACCAGGGGCAGGCUGGAUGAAAGUACAGAGACGGACUGGUUCUCUACACACAGAGGUCUCUGUCUUCCCGUUCCGGAAGGAUGUUCUCAUUGCUCUUUCAGGUCUAGGGGUGGUAACGGUGCCAUGCUGUUCCUAGCUUCAGGAUCCCCUAAACCCCACUCACAUCCUUGUAAACAGUUGCUUUUGAAAACUCUCUUUAGCCCACCUGGCGUAGCUCAGCGGUUGAGCGUCGACCUAGGAUCCAGGAGAUCGCGGUUUGAU